UUAAAAAACAGCUUAAAAAAACCUUGUGGGUGUUUAGACAUGCCCUGUGCAAAGGAGAAGAAAUCAUACUCCUUUCAAGAUUGUAAUGAAUUCCCUUGCUAAAAUGGAGCCAACAAUUGAGUUUUACUCCAGCACUUGUGACACCACAAACAAAGUCACCUGCCCCAUGCCAUAAAAUCCUCAAGCAACAAGUUGCAAGACUAUGGAUACAAAGUUGCAAAGAACAUAUGUGUAAGUUGGUAAUUUGGUUCACAUUUAUUAUCAAUGAAAACAUGAAAUUUCCAACUACUACUGCCAGUUUAUAAUGGCAAUAGAUUCAUGGGAUUCAGAAACUAUGAAUUGAUAUGAAUUGAUAUGCUCCACUUAUAUGCCAUGAUAACAUCCAUGAAAUUACCACAUACAUAAACUGCCAUAGUUGUAUGCUCAAGUAAUGUGAACUUUGCUUUACAUAUGAAUGAUACAAAAAGACCUACAUGAUAUAAAGUGGAAUUAUUGGCCAAUUGACAAUACUACGAUGCAAGUAAGAAAUAAAAUAGAUACGAAGUAGAG
rnacentral:misc_RNA from 1 species